rnacentral:rRNA from 1 species
GAUAAGUAAUGUGAAUUGCAGAAUUCAGUGAAUCAUCGAAUCUUUGAACGCACCUUGCGCUCCAUGGUAUUCCGAGGAGCAUGCCCGUUUGAGUGUCU